CCUACGGGUGGCAGCAGUGAGGAAUAUUGGUCAAUGGGCGAGAGCCUGAACCAGCCAAGUCGCGUGAGGGAGUAAUGCCCUAUGGGUUGUAAACCUCUUUUGUCGGGGAGCAAAAGCCGGACGUGUCCGGCUGUGAGAGUACCCGAAGAAAAAGCAUCGGCUAACUCCGUGCCAGCAGCAGCGGUAAUACGGAGGAUGCGGGCGUUAGCCGGAUUUGUUGGGGUAAAAGGGUGCGCAGGCGGAUGUUUAAUUUAGCGGUAAAAUCGUGGGGCUCAACCCCAUCCAGCCGUUGAAACUGGGGAUCUAGAGUGUGCGAGAGGUAUGUGGAAUGCGUGGUGUAGCGGUGAAAUGCAUAGAUAUCACGCAGAACCCCGAUUGCGAAGGCAGCAUACCGGUGCACAACUGACGCUCAGGCACGAAAGCGUGGGUAUCGAACAGGAUUAGAUACCCGGGUAGUC
rnacentral:rRNA from 1 species